rnacentral:lncRNA from 1 species
UGAAAUUCACCAAAGCAGGUCCCAUGGGAGACAUCAAGCUGGCCUUCUCCUCUACUUGGCCUCAAAGAAAAGAGAAGAAAUGACUGUGGAAGCUUUCCCUACUUUCAGAUUUACAGAGGGGGCCAUGUGAGAAGACUGUAGCUGAAGUAAUCUUGAACAGUGGUGAAGAGCAAGGAAUCUGUAGCAAAAAGGCCUGGAUUCAAAAUCUGGCUCAGCCAC